rnacentral:lncRNA from 11 species
AAAUAUCUCAAGUCUUCAUCAAAACGGAGUUCUAAAACUUCUUAUUCCACACAGAAUAUAUCAAGGCCUGGAUCCAGUUGCCAGUCCCAGCUAGAGAAGACCAACUGAACAAACUGCUGAACGCUGGAAUUGCUGGAUGCGCCUCCAAAGUCACCAGAAGAUUCUCCUCCGUUUGUAUCUGUGGAACAAUUAACACCUCAACCCCUCCGUACAAGAAAGAGCAAUCAAUCAAACAAAG